UACGUAGGGUGCGAGCGUUAAUCGGAAUUACUGGGCGUAAAGCGUGCGCAGGCGGUUUUUUAAGACAGAUGUGAAAUCCCCGGGCUUAACCUGGGAACUGCAUUUGUGACUGGAAGACUAGAGUACGGCAGAGGGGGUUAGAAUUCCACGUGUAGCAGUGAAAUGCGUAGAUAUGUGGAGGAAUACCGAUGGCGAAGGCAGCCUCCUGGGUCGAUACUGACUCUCAUGCACGAAAGCGUGGGGAGCAAACAGG
rnacentral:rRNA from 1 species